CCGCCACCGGCGCCGGGUAGGCAAAGCCGGGAGAAACUGCUGAGACGAGAUGAGGAAACUGAGGCACGGAGCCCUGAAGCCCCACAGCAGAGCCUGGGUCCAGCCAGUCCCCGGGCUCCUGAGGCCCCAGCAGCCCCUGCUCUGAGAAGGAUGAAAGGGAGGUGCAGGGAAGGGAGGUGUUUCUGGAGCAGCUCCCACGAGACCUUGCGGGCAGAUGAAUUGGCACAGGGAGCCUCGAGGACGCUUUGUGUGUGGCGUGCAGAGGGUUCCCCUUUGGUGUUUCCGAGAGAUCGGGGAGAUUUAAACUGCUUUUCACUGAC